rnacentral:lncRNA from 1 species
AGAUUUGGUCUUUCAAUUUCGUCUGGGCCAGCUUAACUUAGAGCCCAAAAAUCCCAAAUUACCCGGGCCCAAAACAUUAAGCACAUACACAUUCCCCGUUUGACCUAACUUAAUCCAUACCCCUAUAAAAUAAAGUUAAAACCUAAAAAUAGCUGGACCCCAACUUUUCCCAUCAACCGUUUUGCUUGAUCUUCUACAGAUCCAUCGUCUCUCACACAAAAAUGGAGACAUUUCCUUAAUCUAGCUAAAAGAAAGAACUCUCAGCUGAAGGAGCGAUUAUAUUUGUAGAGGCAAGACCUAUAGAAAAAGAAAAAAAAAGAAAAACGGUGCAGCAGAAAAGGGAAUCUGAUUGGGAACCAAAAUUGGGAUCUAAACGAAACAAAAAAAGGCGACGUCGAUUCCAAAAGAAAAGAGACCACUGUCUCAAAUUCCCAAAACAAUUUUGAGGACCCGUCAGAGGUUCGUCGGAGUUUCACCACUUCUGACGAGCUCUCUUUCACCAUAAAACGCAGCAGCUCAAUUGUUCUCUUAAUUUGAGUUCAGCCCGUGAAGGUCGUCGAGGUCACCGUGGUCUUGAGAAUAAAGUUGAUUCACUAAAGGUAUUUUAUUUGUUUUUCUUCUUCAGAUCUUGUCUUCAUGAUUUAUUGAAAUUUUAAGGUCAUUAAUUGUUUGAUUAAGCAUUAAAAUUAGGGAUAACAUAUAUUGCUACUUUGAAGAUUUGAUACUUUUGGCCCUUUCUGUUUUUUUUUACUUCUUGAAAAAUGACAUUAUGUUUGGUGCCUUAGUUAAUGUUUUACUGUCUAGAUCUAUCGUUGUAGUUUCUUGGUUCAUGAAUUAACAUUAUGCUAGCUAUCAUUGCUUUAGUUUGUUGGAUAAAUAUUGAAUCACAUAAGUACAUAACUGUAAUGUGAAGAACAAUGAGAGGUGGGUUUGAUUCCAGUUCUUAGGAAAGGAAGCAGAUUUGGGCCUACAGAGCUGGCCCAACUCAGAAACUCUACUGCUAUUAACCCACCUAUGAUUUGCAAUGUAGAUAAUUCUCCUAACUGUAAUAAUAGAAAAGUUAUACUUUUUUCCCAUAAUAAUUUCCAUACAUAUGGCCUUCUAUAAUCUCAAAUUUUAGGAAAAUAAUCACUCUAGAACAUCGUAGCUUGCUUUAGGCGCGACCAAUAAUAAAUUAUCGUGGUCAUGGGUACGGUUCCCGUGGCAUGGUUACGAUACGUGAAUCUCAAUUCGGAGGUGCAUUUCAUAUAACCCGAUCAUAACAAUUUCGAAUAAUAAAACCCUUUGAAAUAAAUUGAGGCGUGUCAUGCCAAGCAAAAUUUAUAAUCCAUGGCCUUCAUAAGAUUAGAUUCAGGAACUAACACUUAUAGAAAAAGGUUUGAGGUGUGCUAUAAAUAAAUUAAAUCAUCUGUUGCCCUCACAAAUGUUGCUAUUGAAAAUUGAAUCUUCAUAGUUGCUUUGGGCGCGUUACUUAAAUAAUUCAUCAUAGCUACGGGUACGGUUCCGUGAUGUAGUUGUGGUUUUUUUAAUUAUUAAAAUUCGGGUGUACAUUUCAUGUGACCCAAUUUCAAUCUUCAACAAUGUUAAAUAAAGCGUGUUGCGAACCACGGGUGCAUUUCAUGUAGCGUGGUUUAAGACGUGUUUUAAAUAGCAUUGAAUUUUCCUAAAAAAUAACUAAAGCGUUUACAAAAGCUAAAAAUGCACAAUAGGUUAAAACAUGUAGUUAAUCAGAUAAUAGGCCAUUUUUAACAGUUCAAGUGACCGUGCUAGAACCUCGGAACCCGGGAAUGUCUAACACCUUAUCUCGGGUUAACAUAAUUUCUUAUCAAGANNNNNNNNNNNNNNNNNNNNCUUAAAUUAGAAAAAAUUCUCCUAUAUACCCUCGGGUGUGUAAAAAGGAGGUGUGACAGCUCUGGCGACUCUGUUAGGGACCAAAACCCAAAACUUUGAUUUAAGGUUCAAGAAAUCGAGCGUAGAAUAACUGUUAUAGUUGGCUUGUUUUUAUCUGAUUUUUACAUGUUGAACAUAAUGUGCUAAUUGCCGCUUUUUACAGCUUUGAUAUUGUUUGGACUAUAUAGAAAUUGCUACGAAAGCCUCCUCUCUCUGAGUCUUCUAAAUCAUCUGGGAAGUAUGCACUUCGUGUGACUUCUUUUCUGUUAGAGUCAUUGUCCCAAUUUUAGAACGAGGUUCAGACAAGUUGCAAAGGCAGCGAAGCUUCUGUAUUCCCGGUACGCUACCCUCCCCUCCCUCCCCCCGUCCUCGGCUCGAGCUGUCCGCUCGGGUAAGCCAGGUUUAGAAUAAUACACCCAGGUUUUUAAACUUAGAAUAACACAGCCUCAUGUCGAAUCCCUAGUAGGUACGUUUGUUUGCAUCACGUGCAUCCGACUUUGGGGACUCAACACAGGGAUUGUGUCCGUCUAGGACAGGUGUACCCAAAUAUUAAAAAGACCAUCCUGAUGCAUCUUACGGGCUACUUGCACAUUUGUUUGAUUCGGCUUGCAUGUUAAUCGGCUUCUAGAAUAAGGAAAGAAAAUCAACAAAAAAAAAAGAAAAUAAAAAAAAUUGAUGAAAAAAACCAAGAAUGAGACAAGGUCAUUUCAAAAUGAGCCAAAAAAUUUCAAGUGCCAUGUUUUCCGUGUUCCGUCAAAACUGACCGAACUACGCGGGUCUGAUUCUCACCGGAAGUGAGAUACGUAGACAAACCUCAUCGGUUCCGACCCCAAUUUUAAAAAAUCCAAAAAUAUUUUCCUUUAGUUCCUUCUUUAAAAAUCUUUCCUUAGAAAAUUCAAAAAAAAAAAAAUGUUUUUAAACUCAAAAAAGUAGUUUCCUUCUUUCUGAAAUCUUUUAUAUGGAAAAAAGAAAUUAAAAAAAAUCAAUCAAAAAUCAAAAUCCAAAAUACGAGUUUCAUUUAUUUUGAAGUAUUUUUCCCAAAAAGAUUUUUAAAAAAAAAGAUAAAAAACUUUUUCCUUGUUUAAAGUCUUUCAUUCAAAAAAAAAAAGGCCUUUCAUUAAAAAAAAAAUUGAAAAAUUUUAGUCCAAAAUAUUUUCGCUUUUGUUUAGAAGUGUUUUGUAAAUAAAUAAAAACUCUAAAAUCCAAUCUUUUUUUUUCUUAAAAAUCCCUCUUUCGAAAAUUUAAGAGACAACAUCCAAAAUCCAAAAAUAUUUUUUCUUUCUUCUUUAGGAAAAGAGAAAACAAAUGAAAGUUCAAACAAAAUUAUUUUCUUUUUACAUUUAAAAUUUCCAAAGUUCAAAUCAAAAGAGGAGUGAAUUUUUAGAAGUCUAUCUUUAAAAAAUCAAACAUAAAAAUAAAAAUCAAAAAAAUAUGUCUUUUUUCUUUUAAAGCAUUUCUUUCGGAAAAAAAAUUUCAAAAAAAUAUGUUUUUCUUUUUUUUAAAGCUUUCAUGGUUUGAGUUUUAUAAACAAAUUAAACAAAAAAAUGAGUUAGUUUAUUUACUCCAUUCUCGAUCUUCCUGAAAUACGCAAGAUCUGAUUCAUUCGGCGUUAUGAUACGUAGACAAUCCCCAUCGAAUUCGAUCAUAGCCAUAGGAUUAAUUGAGUGAAAAAUAAACUGAAAAAAAAAAGAGAAAGAAAAAUUGAGUAAAAAACAAGGAGAAAGAAAAGAGUGAAAAAAGGGAAGAGAGUGACAAAGAAAUUAAAGAGUGACAAAAAUAAAAAAAAGAAACUAGAGUGCCAAAAAAUAAAAGAGCGGCAAAAAUAAAAAAUCAAGAGUGAUUAAAAAGAAGCAGAAAUAAAAGAAAAGAGAUAUUUGAGUGAAAAAGAGAGUUAGUUUAAGGCCGGGAUGAAACAUGCAACCGUUCAAACACAUGGUAGAAACGUUUAACUAUUUAGGUGCAUUGCAUCCAAAUGUGCGAUUUCCUAUAUGUUAAGUGUCUCAAAACUAACAAGGUUGUUUAGUGUGCAAAUUAGUCAGGUUUUGGUGGUUGGUUUUGUUGGUAGUCUAGUCUCUCCUCUUUCACAAGAUUCAAAGGAACAGAUGGCCACCGCAAGCAAUCCACCAAUCAUCGGUCCUGAGGAUAGCUCGGCAUCGACUGUUCUGCAGCUAGAAUCAGCAGCCGCUGAAGAGAAUAAGAUGUUGCAUCUCCGCAUAUUGGAAAUGUGGGACGCCUGGUCUAAUGGUAGGGAACCUCCAAGUGCAAUCCCUGAGUUGAUCCCCAGGUCAGGUGAGGUUACAAACACCCAUGUGUCCAACCCGCUCAUCCCAUACGGGCAUCCUCCAAUGCCUUCCAAUGAUCCUGGCAUGCCUUCUGUGGUUCUCCCCCAAGCACCGGCUUCGAGGGCACCACUUCCAAUGUUCAUCUUUUAGGGUCCACAGCUUUAACCAGAAAUUACAUAUGUGACCCCGUACUCUUUCACUCAACCUCCACAAUAUGACCUCUCGGUGGAGCAAGAAAAGGUUGUGAAAAAUCCCGAGCAAGAGGAAAUGCCACGGAAGAUGAAGAGCCUGGAACAAAGCCUGAAAAACAUGCAAGGUCUAAGUGGUAAGAAGAGUAUCUCAUACUCUGACCUCUAUAUGUUUCCCCAUGUCCACUUGCCAGCUAACUUCAAGAUGCCAAAAUUUGAAAAGUAUGACGGGCACAAAGACCUGGUCACUCAUCUAAAAUGAUAUUAUAACCAGUUGAGGGGUGCUGGUGGAAGAGAGGAGUUGCUAAUGGCCUAUUUUGGGGAAAGCCUCACCAGAAUCGCUUCUGAGUGGUAUACGGAUCAAGAAAUUACCCAUUGGCACGUGUGGAACGAUAUGGCUCGAGAUUUUGUUCGCCAAUUCCAAUAUAAUGUGGACAUCGCUCCCGACAAAAACUCCUUGUCCAAUUUGAAAAAGAAAACCGCGGAAAGCUUCCGCGAAUAUGCUGUCAAAUGGCGUGAUCGAGCUGCCAAGGUAAAGCCUUCAAUGGACAAAACUGAAAUGGCCAUAGUCUUUCUGUAGGCCCAAGAGGCUGACUACUUCCAGAACAUGAUGUCUGUUGUGGGUAAGCCGUUCACCGAGGCUAUCAAAAUUGGGGAAAUGGUUGAAAACGGUCUAAAAACGGGCCGAAUCUUGAGUCAUGCUGCUUUUAAAGCCACAUCACCAGAUGUUCAAAAUGGUUCAAAGGGUUUGAUGAACACAAAUGGGAAUGAGGAGGGAGCUAUGAUGGUUUCAAGCUCGAGGGGGCCCGUAGGUCAUUCAGCUAGUCAUGUGUGCCUUCUAUGGUCCCACCACACUGUUAUCCCCUUCAAGAUGAUGCUUAUGUCCUUGAAACAACUGCCAAUGCAAAUGCAAUCAAAAGGUACUAUGUUGGAUCCUCUAUAUAGCAUUAAUGUUCUCCGGUUGAGAUAAAGAAGACUUUCUUUCUCACUACCCAAACACUACCAACCAUUUGCAAACCCUUUGAGCCGGUUACUCUUCUUUGAUUACCCCUUUUGGAACCUGAAAAUGUUAUUGAAAAAAACUAAUAAAUUAAAAAAAGGGAAAAAAUCAAAAAAGGAGAAGAAAAAGAAAGAUACAAAAAAAGAGAGGAAGAAAAUACAAAGAAAUGAAAUGAAAAAAAUGAAAAUGAAAAAAAAGAAAGGAAAAAGAAAGAGAACAAAACAAAACAGAAAAAAGAAGAAAAGAAAAUAAAAAACAAAAUUUCAUGAACUAUGUUCGACUUGAUUCCGAAAGGAUACAUAGGCACCCUCUCUCUGGGGUUCGGUCACACCAAAACAAAAAUCCACAUUCCCCCCAAAGUUGAAACUGGGGCAGAAGUUAUAAUGGUUCGGCAAUUGUUUCGCCUGAAAGAUUCCAAAGUUGUAAUUCAAUCCAAAUUCUUUUUACCCCAAAUUCUUUCAAGUCCUUCCGAUCAAUCGGUAAAAGAUGUUCAAAAUUGGAGGAUACAGUUACUUGGAUCUAAUACAAAAAAUGAGAGAAAUAAAAUGAGAGUCUUAUUGGUGAAAACCCAUACGCGCACCGUAAGGCAAUGGUAAACAGAGAAAUAAAAUGAGAGAGUCUUAUUGGUGAAAACCCACACGGGCACCGUGAGGUGACAGUAAGCAAAGAAACUAGAAAUAAGAGAGUCUUGUUAGUGAAAACUUGCAAAGAGCACUAUAAGGCAAUGGUGAGAAGAGAAAUGAGAGUGGCCAGCUAGUGAAAACCCGCAAAGGGCACCACUAAUCGAAAAGAAGAUCCUCACAGCCAUCGACAUCCACAGAGUCCUGGCAAGAUUUCUCGAUUUUGAGGCAAAAGUUGGGAUGAAUUUCUGAGAGUCGGACAGUUUACACAGAUCAGGCAUCCAGUCUAAAAGGCAUGUCAUGUUCAUUAAAGUCCGCAUGUACUCCAGAUAAGUCCUUCUUUCCUUUCCUCGAAAGGGACACAUCUUGUUUAAACUCACUCUCAAUUCCUUUGUUUAUUUUCUUUGAAUCCCUUUCGGUCUAACUCUGUUCCGAAACUAAGACAAAGAAAGGAUGGUAAGACUGAUUUACACGGUUCUCAUUUGAUACAAGCUAAUAUGCGAAAAGGCACCCAGCCUCAUCAGGGGCAUCAAAUCGACCUCGACCAGCCAUGGCGGCCGAUGCUUCGAAAUCAAAACUCUUGGAAGGAGAAAGUCAAAUUGAAGUGCCUAUAAAGGCAAAUGAAGUUGAAAAGGUUGAGUCCCACGUGACUAACCGUCUCGGCAAAGGUUUGAAAAGCCAAGGCACCCAAAUGUUCUGAAAUUGAAGUUAGAAGAAAGAAUCCAGAAAUGAAAGGCCUACGAAGGCGAAAUAAAGUUGGAAAAGGUAAGUCCCACGCGACUAGCCGUUGCAGCAAGUUUGAGAAGCCAAAAAGUUCUCCGAUGCUCCGAAGAAAAAAAAAGAGAGAAGGAAGUCAGAAAGGAAAGGCCUACAAAGGCAAAAUAAAGUCGAAAAGGUUGAGUUCCACUGACCAACCAUCAUGACAAAGUCUAGAAAAAACCAUAGGUUCUCCAGGGCCUGAAAUGAAAUCGGUCCCCAGGAAACGACCAGUUGCAAUUGAGAUCUUCAUCAAAGAAGCCGCGCUGAGAAUCAAGUGAUUGAAACAAUCAAGGCCACAAAACCAACCCGCCGUUUCAAAUUAACAAUCAUUCUUUGUUUGAAAACAUGAAACAGGUGCCAUCCAAAGCAACCUUGCAAGAAGCAUGUGCAACCAAAAAGAAACUGCGCAAGGGCUAGAAACAACUUUGCAACAAUAAUCAAUCCAAAAGGGAAGUCUCUUCCGAAUUCUUUCCUGCAUUUUUACUCAUUUUCUUAAAAUAUAAGAAGAAGAAAAUUCAAAUCAUGGUAGCAUAGGGUCUCACUCCCUAGCUGAUGCCAGCAUAACCUGGUAAUCUCUUCCAACAUAUGGUCUCAUUCCCUAGUCGCUGCCAGCAUAACCUGGUAGUCUUUUCCAAUAUAGGGUUCCACUCCCUAAUUGAUCUCCGACAUAACCCGAGGACCUUUUCUCGGCAUAAUCCGAUGACUUUGCCAGCAUAACCCGAUAACCUUUCCCGGCAUAACCCAAUGACCUUUUUCUUUUCCGACAUAACCCGAUGACCUUCUUAGCAUAACCAGAGGACACUUUUCUUUUCCGACAUAACCCGAUGACUUUCCCGACAUAACCCGUGGACCUCCCCGGCAUAACCAGAGGAUCUUUUUCUUUUUCGGCAUAACCCGAUGACUUUUUCUGACAUAACCCAAGAACUUUUUUCUUUCCCGACAUAACCGAUGGACACCCCCGGCAUAACCCAAAGACCUUUUUCUUUUCCAGCAUAACCCGAUGACCUUUUUCUUUACCGGCAUAACUCGUGGACCUCCCCAGCUUAACCCGAGAACCUUUUUCUUUUCCAGCAUAACCCGAUGACCUUUCCCGGCAUACCCCAUGGACCUCCCCGGCAUAACCUGAGGACUUUUUUUUCCAGCAUAACCCGAUGACCUUUUUUCUUAUUCCAGCAUAACCCGAGGACCUUUCCGGCAUAACCCGAUCAUUUUUCUAACAUAACCUGUUAAUCUCUUCCAACAUAUGAUCACAUUCCCUAGCUGAUGUCAGCAUAACAUGGUAAUCCUUUCCAAUAUAGGAUCUCACUCCCUAGCUGAUGCCAGCAUAACCUGGUAAUCUUUUCCGGCAUAGGGUCUCAUUCCUUAGUUGAUGCUAGCAUAACCUGGUAAUCUUUUCAACUUAGGAUAUCCGAUCCCCUUUUGAUUUUAUUUUAGAUAUAGGGCCUCCACUCCUAAUCUCUUUUCCUCAGGAAUACACAAUCCCGAUUUUAAUUGCUUUCAAUAAAGAAAUAGUUUAGAUUUUGUUACAAUAACUCGCGAAAUUUUCAUAGUGAAAACUGGGGCAGAAAAAUUUCGUUCGUUUGUUUGUUUUGGUGUCUUAGCAGGUUAUACUUCAAGGCACAGGGUUCGAGAUGACCGUAAGAAGAUUUCUCAAUCCAGAAUAAAAAAAAAGAAAGAACAAGAAAAGAAGUGAACUUCAAGUGCAAAAGCGAAGAAAAGAUGCAAACUGCUCAAGAUAUGAUUGAAGUUACGAGUUUUGCAUGUCCCGCCUUGAUCCGAAGAGCUGAAGAAAAAUGAACCAACAUUCGCAGCUAACGAACAUCAAGAAUCAGAUCAGAGUCUGCAGCAAGAACCAACCAAGACUCAAGAUCAAGCUUCAGAAAACUCAUAAAUAGGAAUCUUGUAACUCGUACCUCAUAAGCUUAGUUAGUCUUUUUCAUUUUUGAUGUAAUAACAGGACCGAGGACCGGAACCUCGACGGAAACUCAAUCGACUCUCGAACGCAUCACUCCAUCAUCCUUCCAGAAUACACCGACCUGAUUCCUUUAAAGCCAAGGAUAUGUAGACAACCUCCGAAGCAAGGUUCGGUCAAACUUUUUCAAAAUGCUUCCAAAUAGAGUUUCAAAUGGGCAAAAAUUGUUCGUAAUUGUUCACUUUAUCUUUGCCCGAAAAUUCUUCUGAUUUUCGAGCAAAGAGGGGCAGCUGUGAGCACCUAAUUUUUGUUCUACAUGAAAAUAACUCCUAAAAAUAAAUCAAAAAUAAUUUUUUAAGGGAUUUUAAUUUUUUUUUUCUUUAUUUAGUUGCAUUUUUAAUAUUUUAAAAUUAUAGAAAAAUGAUAAAAAUAUCAUAUUUCAAUUUCAUGUCAUUUUAGGUCCAAUUUGCAUUUAGG